AAGUACUUUUUAGUUUCUAUGACUCUUACCAUCAUGACCGUCAGAUUGCUCUUUUUAUGUUGAUUAUUAUUGAAGUAUUAGGAUUGACAGAGCCCCAGCCGCUCAUGAUUUUGCAGUAGAUACUAGAAAAGGGGUUUUGUUUUAGAAUGACUGUCAUACUGGUUAAUUAUAUGGAAAUAUUGCUAGAACUUAAUAUUCUGAGGAAAAUCAUUGAGUGUAAUGAUAGCGUCACCUUUUUUCUCAUGGGCCAAUAUUGGACCUUCAACCUGUGGCCCUCUACAGAUAUUUGUAAGUAGCAUAACAUCAACAUGUGACCUUUCUCUUGUUGUGAUGGGGUUGAGUCUCGUUGUAUUAAGAACUUUAGACCGACAACCAUGUUGUUGAGGUUCAGCUGCAUAUUAUCCUCUGGUCCAAUGGAAAUAUGCAAUGUCAUUUCUAAGAGCAUGCUGGUCAAACUUUCGGGAUGACUAUUAGUCUAUAUACUCCCCCAUUCCCAAAUACAUUGUCAUGGUCUUCACGGUACAGCUUUGGCUGUCCAAUCAUAAUACUCUAGCGUAUAUAAGUAUCUUUCUGUGAUGAUUCUAUACUAUUUCUGGACAAUGUAUGUACUUUUGGCAAUGGUUUCUAAAGCAAUAUCUAUUUGUGAAUGGAGGUAGUAGCUAAUUUAGUUUGGCUAGAAAAAAAUUAUGUAGUCAUAUUUGCGCACAAAAUUACGUAAACAUAAGCCAAGAUUGACUGCUGCGUGCUACCUAUGUAAACACCGCAUAGUGCUAAUUUCCUUCCAUGUCGUUAUGAAAAUAUGUUCACUGGUUUGAAUCUUAGUGUUGCAUAGUGGUGUCAAAUGGCUGCCUUCAUCACUUCUGCCACAUUUUUCCUCUGUACCAUGUGGCACCGCAUUAGGUCCGCCCCUGUCCGUUUGUGUCGGGACGGACAAAUAGCAUGGCCCAACGCGCGUCUCCUGGCCCAAAUUUUGUCUGCCGCACAUCCGUCUGGACCCAUUUCCGGCGCAAAUUGGGCCAGAUUUGCGUCCAGACGGACUCUAGACAGACGAGCGCAUGUACUCUCGCUGUUCGCCCUUGGGCCAGCAUGUCAUUCGUCCAACCAACUCCCAUCGACCCCGUUAAAUCCUCAUGCGUGGACGGGCCCGCAUGUCAGCCACCCAUCCAUCCCUGCUGGGGUCCUUAAUGGCAACCCGUGAACCGGCCGCAGGUCCACGUCCACUUCCACACACUUCUCUGCCCCCCUCGCGCCCGACAAGCCAUACACCACGCCGCUUGUCAUCGCCACCGCAAUGGGGAUGUGGAAGUGGAUCCCCGACAAGUCGGGGAAUAACACCCAUGAAGCGGGGUCGUCCUGUGGGUCGUCGGGGAUGAGGAGCGCCGCCGGCUUCUCCCUCUCGCCACUCGCCCCGGCGCCGCGGAACAGACCAUACAUCAAGGUGGAGGUUUGCCGGCGGUACUCACAACCACCCCAUUGCCGUGGUCCGAUGUGCACCUGCCAAACUGGUGGCAUCUCAGCCCGGAUCGGGUGCUCGUGCCGGCCAUCCCUGUGAGCGUGCACGCUCGCUGUCCCCGCCCGCACUGCUAAUGGCCAUGAGGGCCGAAGAGGAGGAGCUCAUGAAGAAGGUGCUUGAGGACUUGGUCCGUGAGUACGUGCACAACCAGUGGGAGGGCUAACGUGCAACUCGUUCUGUCGGCCGCGAGCGUCGUCUUUCUGGAGCCGUUGGCCGCGCCUUGAGACCCGGUGUUGGUGGGGCAGUCCUGGAGCUGGACGUUGACGGUGCCUUGCACACUGGAGUUUGUGUCUGCCCUGCCCUCUUGGCUGCGCGCCGAACCGUGGUCACCGCCUUCGACGCAUGAGCUGCCGGUGGUGCAUGAGCAGCUGCAGGAGCUGCCCGCCCACUUGUGGCAGUGGCACAAGCGCUGCCCACCCACCUGUGUGGCAGCCACCGCCCUUCGCCGACCUCACCGAGGACGAAGAAGGCGACCAAGACGGCUGCGACGGCAUGAACUGAGGACGACCAGGACAGGCACGCGUCGGCCGGUCUAGGGUUUCAUUUUAGUUGUUUUAGUUGUUUUUAGUUCAUAAGUUUAGGGCCAAUUCUUUUGGGCGGCUUAAAAAAUAAUCUGCCUCUUCCCAGCUUAAAAAUUAAGCCGCUCCCAAAAUUUGUCGAGUCUUCUAAAUUAGUAAUCCCAUAACUAGUUCAGAAGCCCCAAUGAACGAGGGAGACGGCUUAUGGGAAAAGCUAGGGAGGAGGCGGCUUAUUUUUUAAGCCAUCAAAAGAAUUGGCCCUUAAUGUACGGAAGCCGGGACUUUUGGACUUAUAUGUAAUAUAUAUGUUUAAGUUUUUAAUUUUUUUCAUGACUUUUUUGUUUGAAUUCAAGUUCUAAAAACCGGACAUUGUUUGAAAUGCGUCGGCCGCGUUGAGUGCACCGAUGGGCGGACGGCCAAAACCAGACACGCUGGCCUGCUCAUCCGACCCAAACGGGCAAAAAUCGGUCAAAACGGCCGUUCGUUUGGGUUGGCCGGUUGGAGUUGUUCUUAGUCUCUGUUCCUGGGUGAAGUUCAGGUGCGUAAGUACCGAUGGAGAAAAAAUACCAAAGUUUAUGCUACUUCAUCCAAAUGAGUGACACCUCCAUUAACGCGGUGCACACUCGAAAUUUUUUGGUAGAGAAUUCACCUGUAGUUGUAGGUGACAAAUGUAUCGGGUCAUAACUACUAGCUUUGUGGUUUGUCUGGAUCUGGGCCAUAGUUUCUCUGGUCGUGAUGCACCACUUCAUAAAAAUAAGUAUUGUUUGGGGCUAUACAUCUUCAGUUAUUGAAACCUUAAUGGGGUUUGCGAACUUCUGAUUUUCUACAAAUCAUAUGUAGUGGAAAGGACAGACACAAUGCGGUGUAAUGCUUGAUAAUGCAAACACAUUCUCAAGUAGCCACUCAAGAUCUUAAUUCUUAAGAUGAACAAAAAAGUAUAGAAGAAAAAAAGAGAAGAUGUCCAUGGCCACUUUGCGACAUUUAAUCCGGGAGCAAAUAUAGUAUAGGAGUGGGAAGACCCGACAUCUGAAUGUAUUUUACCAGAUUGCGCCUGUACAUAGUUAGCUUGUAAGAUUAAAGUAAGAUAAUUACUUGGUGCACUGUACUACAUCUGUAAUCUUUUCGAAAGAAGUUCAAUUUCCCAAGGACGAAGCGAAUUGGCGAGACAGUUGCAGUAUGCAGUUCUAAGCAUAAGCUGGAUUUGGUUGCACUUUUGAGGAUGGUGUACUACACUCAUCUGGUACAUCCAUGAAUUUUUCCGAAGGUUCUAGAGGCAGUACAGUGUGCAAUAUCUACAUGCAAAUGUGGGGGCAACAUGCAUGGACCAUGGCACAAGAUUGAGCCAAGGGUAUUAGAUGAAGAUAACAGUCACCAGACGGCGGCCAUCUCCAUUUGAUGCCACCAGUAGAAAAUAAAAAUAAUACUGAUCUAUAGGACCAAGCAAAGUCAAAUCACAGAUCACCUUUAUGAAAGAAAAAAAAUGGAGAGAAAUCAUCUUUGAAAAUUAACCUGGUAGCUUUCUUGCGGCCAUCUGAAAAAAAGAAGAAGAAGCUGCAAGAAGAAACUAGAUGAAUUAGAUACCGAUCCUAGCAUGUGAGCUAUUGUCUCCUACCAUUGCUGACAAGACGCAGGGAAAGCUGUAUGUCAUAGGGUCAUGCGUAAUAAGAAAUACUUUCCUUCUGCAGUGAUGGUAGUAUCUGGGUAUACGUAGUAGCUAGGAGAAACUAGGAAGUCAUAAUUUUGAACCAUGACGUGUGUGGCUGUUGCUAAUGAGAGGAUCAUGAUUUUCGGGGGAGUGCCAGAAAA